CCUGAGUACGACGGAGCACGUGAAAUUCCGUCGGAAUCUGGGAGGACCAUCUCCUAAGGCUAAAUACUCUCUAGUGACCGAUAGUGAACCAGUACCGUGAGGGAAAGGUGAAAAGUACCCCGGAAGGGGAGUGAAAGAGAACUUGAAACCGUGUGCUUACAAGUAGUCAGAGCCCGUUAAUGGGUGAUGGCGUGCCUUUUGUAGAAUGAACCGGCGAGUUACGAUCUGAUGCAAGGUUAAGCAGAAAAUGUGGAGCCGUAGCGAAAGCGAGUCUGAAUAGGGCGAAUGAGUAUUUGGUCGUAGACCCGAAACCAGGUGAUCUACCCUUGGUCAGGUUGAAGUUCAGGUAACACUGAAUGGAGGACCGAACCGACUUACGUUGAAAAGUGAGCGGAUGAACUGAGGGUAGCGGAGAAAUUCCAAUCGAACUUGGAGAUAGCUGGUUCUCUCCGAAAUAGCUUUAGGGCUAGCCUCAAGUGAUGAUUAUUGGAGGUAGAGCACUGUUUGGACGAGGGGCCCCUCUCGGGUUACCGAAUUCAGACAAACUCCGAAUGCCAAAUAAUUUAACUUGGGAGUCAGAAUGUGGGUGAUAAGGUCCAUAUUCGAAAGGGAAACAGCCCAGACCACCAGCUAAGGUCCCAAAAUAUAUGUUAAGUGGAAAAGGAUGUGGCGUUGCCCAGACAACUAGGAUGUUGGCUUAGAAGCAGCCAUCAUUUAAAGAGUGCGUAAUAGCUCACUAGUCGAGUGACACUGCGCCGAAAAUGUACCGGGGCUAAACAUAUUACCGAAGCUGUGGAUUGUCCUUUGGACAAUGGUAGGAGAGCGUU
rnacentral:rRNA from 1 species